UCAUGUUCUGUUAUAAAAACC
rnacentral:piRNA from 1 species